rnacentral:lncRNA from 1 species
UCCAGCUUCCAUUUCCAUGUCUACGAAAUGACCGCAUGUACAGUACUGACCGUGCAGGUGGCAGUGAAGAUUAGAUCCCCAUUAUCAGUGCAAAGCUGCCAACAGAGGGCCUGGGACAUAUCUUACAUUCUGUGAGUGAAUGCUCUGGCAUUAUCAAAUUAGUCGCAUUUGGAAGAUGCCAUCCACCAGAACUAAUCAGACUCAACCAUCUUUAUUCCUUGAUAGCGCCCUGGCUUCUCUCCCACUAAUGUAACAGCUGCACUUUUUUUAAAAGCAGGCUGAGAACACGCCUGCUGUGGAUUCGGUACCGGGUGCCUGCAAUCAUGGCUGUUUACUGAAUAUUAAUAUUCUGUGUGUGCGUGUGGUUUGGCUUUCGAAUUAAUGUUGACACUCAUUCGUUGCAGGGAAACAUGUCUGCCGAGGGGACAGGCAUUCUUCCUUAUGUCAAAGUCCCCAGUUGUCGGCUGCCCGGUCUUUGAACGUUAACACUCACAAAAUCUCCUAUGUAUGCUCUAAAAGAGAAUGGUCUAUAGCUCAAAUCUCUGAUAGCCCUGAUACAUAAUAAAUACACAUAUUUUCUUUUUACCUGCUUCCUGGCUUAAAACUGCUAGCGCCUUUGGCUCUGGGCAGUGAUAAGUGUCUAUUGUAUGGCAACAGAAUAGCCGGUGGCUAGGAGCUCCUGAGUAUCUUCCCCUGGUUAUGAAUCACAAGGGUUGGGACUGGACAUCCUCUAUCCAAGAGAAAGCCCUCAAAGAUCGAUGAUCCAGAAUGAGAAGGAACAUGACUCCAUAGUGCUGCUGAUGAGGUAUUGGUGUUCACACUUCCUCUUCUGGAAACCAGAUGUUUACAUCUUCUGGUGGGUUGUUAAAACUACCUCAUCCCAAAUAAAAAUAAAAUAAAGCGGCUACAGAAAAUGUUAUAUACUGAGAACAACGAAAUUAGCUAAUGGGGGUAUCAGACAAUCUUUUUUCCUGAUGGUGUGGGAAGUAACAACAAGGGACU